rnacentral:rRNA from 1 species
UCUUCACUCUGUCGGCGUGCCUAAUACAUGCAAGUCGAGCGAACGGACGAGAAGCUUGCUUCUCUGAUGUUAGCGGCGGACGGGUGAGUAACACGUGGAUAACCUACCUAUAAGACUGGGAUAACUUCGGGAAACCGGAGCUAAUACCGGAUAAUAUUUUGAACCGCAUGGUUCAAAAGUGAAAGACGGUCUUGCUGUCACUUAUAGAUGGAUCCGCGCUGCAUUAGCUAGUUGGUAAGGUAACGGCUUACCAAGGCAACGAUGCAUAGCCGACCUGAGAGGGUGAUCGGCCACACUGGAACUGAGACACGGUCCAGACUCCUACGGGAGGCAGCAGUAGGGAAUCUUCCGCAAUGGGCGAAAGCCUGACGGAGCAACGCCGCGUGAGUGAUGAAGGUCUUCGGAUCGUAAAACUCUGUUAUUAGGGAAGAACAUAUGUGUAAGUAACUGUGCACAUCUUGACGGUACCUAAUCAGAAAGCCACGGCUAACUACGUG